rnacentral:rRNA from 1 species
UGAGGGAAUAUUUGGGGUCAAUGGGCGAGAGCCUGAACCAGCCAAGUAGCGUGCAGGAUGACGGCCCUAUGGGUUGUAAACUGCUUUUAUACGGGGAUAAAGUGAGCCACGCGUGGCUUAUUGCAGGUACCGUAUGAAUAAGGACCGGCUAAUUCCGUGCCAGCAGCCGCGGUAAUACGGAAGGUCCGGGCGUUAUCCGGAUUUAUUGGGUUUAAAGGGAGCGUAGGCCGUCUGUUAAGCGUGUUGUGAAAUGUCGGGGCUCAACCUGGGCAUUGCAGCGCGAACUGGCAGACUUGAGUGCGCAGGAAGUAGGCGGAAUUCGUCGUGUAGCG